UGCCUGGGAUGUAUCCUAAAUUCUGACACCUCAUAUGAAACUGUGAAAGCAGCUUCUUGAUUCUGCUCUUUGGGCUGAGGCAC